rnacentral:misc_RNA from 1 species
GAUGAAGAACGCAGUGAAAUGCGAUAAGUAAUGUGAAUUGCAGAAUUCAGUGAAUCAUCGAAUCUUUGAACGCACCUUGCGCUCUUUGGUAUUCCGAAGAGCAUGCCUGUUUGAGUGUCAUGAAAAUAUCAACCUUGACUUGGGUUUUGUGCUCUAGUCUCGGCUUGGAAUUGGGUGCUUGCCGCUUUUACGAGCGGCUCACCUUAAAUGUAUUAGCUGGAUCUGUCUUUGAGACUUGGUUUGACUUGGCGUAAUAAGUAUUUCGCUAAGGAUAUUCUUCGGAGUGGCCUCGUUUCUAGGACGCUUGUCCGCUUUCCAAUACAAGUUCCACCUCGUGGACAUGACUUUUUAUUAUCUGGCCUCAAAUCAGGUAGGACUACCCGCUGAACUUAAGCAUAUCAAUAAGCGGAGGA